rnacentral:rRNA from 1 species
AGAGGAUGGCUCGGCUCGAGUGCCGAAGAAGGUCGUGACAAGCUGCGAUAAGCUACGGCGAGACGCAUGAAUGUCUGAGAACCGUAGAUGGCCGAAUGGGACCUCCUGACUCUUCGGAGUCAUUCGCAUUAGCGAAAGGGAACCCCCCGAAUUGAAGCAUCUUAGUAGGGGGAGGAAAAGAAAUCAAAGAGAUUCCGUUAGUAGUGGCGAACGAACACGGAUCAGAGCAAACCGAAUCCUGACUAGAAAUUGAAGGAGAUGUGGUUGUCAGUCUAUCGUCUAAGUCAAAGAAGGUGAAGUUACCUGGAACGGUACAGCCAAAGAGGGUGAAAGUCCCGUAACCGCAUUUGAUAUGACCACGUGACUGUCAAAGAGUAGUGUGCGUCGGAUAUCGCGCAUGAAUAUGGGAGGCAUAAACUUCCAACUCUAAAUACAACUCGAGACCGAUAGUUUACAAGUAGCGUGAGCGAAAGCUGAAAAGUAUCCUUAGCGGGAUGUGAAAAGAACCUGAAACUAGAUAGGUACAGGCUGAUAGGGCGUGAAAGCGAAGAUAUGAGCAGCGUCCUAUCGUGCGUUUAGAAAAAUGCCCCUGGGAGUCUUGAUCAUUGGCGAGGUUAAGGAGUUGAUCUCCGAAGCCGAAGGGAAACCGACAAGUCCGCAGUCGUAAGACGAGGGACGGGGUGUGCUCGCCCGAAGUCAAUGGUGGAGAACCUGAAGCCCACCGAUCUAUGCCUGGCCAGAUUGAAGCCCGACGAAAGUUGGGUGGAGGAUCGAACCGUUGCUGAUCUGCAAAUCGCUCGGAUGAGCUGGGUAUAGGGGUGAAAGUCCAAUCGAGGUGGGCAAUAGCAGGUUCCGCGCGAAACUACUCGUAGGUAGACGUCCGUGGAGGUUGAAUGCGUUGUAGAGCACUGAUUGUGUGUUUAGGGGGAGCGAUUCCUCGGCAUGCCGCCAAACUCCGAAUAUGCAUUCGCCGUAGAUACGGGCAGUGAGUGACGGUGGGUAAGCUACCGUUACAUAAGGUGAACAAACCAGCCUAACGUUAAGGUCCCAAAAUUCCGAUCAAGUGUCACAGACAAACCGUGUCCGUGGUCGAAAACAACUAGAAGGUGGGCUUAGAAGCAGCCAUCCUUGAAAGAGUUCGUAACAGAUCACUAGUCUAGCUUGCGGGCCGGGAAAAGGGACGGGGCUCAAAUCGGAUACCGAGACGUUAGUCCAUUGAAAAAUGAUGAGGUAGCGCGGCGACGUGUAUGGGUGGAAGCAAGGUUUUGAGAUCUUGUGGACCGUAUACGUAUGAGAAUCUAGGGAAGAGUAGCAGCACAGAGUGGUGAGAAUCCGCUCCGCCGAAGGGGCCAGGGUUCCUCGGCACUGUUUAUCAGCCGAGGGUUAGCCGAUCCUAAGGUCAUUCUUAACCGAGAUGAUCGAAAGGGAAUUGCGUUAAUAUUCGUAAGCCAUCCAACAAUAAUGGUGACAGCUUGGGCUAGUCUAUCGCGUCAUAUGUCAGGCGCGCGAAGCGUCUAUAAUCAACCGGAGAACUGUUACAGUGAGAAAGUUGAGAAGUCGUGAGUGAAAUAUUAGACGAGGCCCGGGUUCCAUGAAAAGCCGUUGGAAUGAUCGUACCAAGAACCGAAACAGGUGCCCCUGGGUGAGUAACCUAAGGUGUAUCGGGUAAAAAUAUCGCGAGGGAACUCGGCAAAAUAGCUCCGUAACUUCGGGAGAAGGAGUGCCAGCUUUGAGAGAAGCUGGUCGCAGUGACAAGGGAGCUCCGACUGUUUAAUAAAAACAUAGCCGACUGCCAGUUCGAAAGGAUGUGUAUAGUCGGUGAAUCCUGCUCAGUGCUGGUAUCUGAAAUUGGGGUUCAACCCAACGAAGGACCAGUAAACAGCGGGGGUAACUAUGACCCUCUUAAGGUAACGUAAUACCUUGCCGCUUAAUUGGCGGCUUGCAUGAAUGGUCCAACGAGGGCUCCACUGUCCCCGCGAUAUGUCCGGCGAAAUUGACUUUACUGGCGCACAGUCCAGUACCUUCAACCCGCAAGCGAAGACCCCGUAGAGCUUUACUGCAGCCUGUCGUUGUGUAGUCGCUUUCCUUGUACUGUAUAGGAGGGAGACUUUGAUCCCUAGGACGCCAGUCUUAGGUGUAGUCGACUAUAGAGAUACCUCCCUUGGAGAGUAACUACACUCACUCUUUAUGAGAACACCGAUUGGUGGGCAGUUUGGGUGGGGCGCCACGCGCUCGAAAAAAUAACAAGCGUGCCCAAAGGCCAGCUCAGGUGGUUCAGUACUCCACCGUUGACUGUAAGGGGAAAAGCUGGCUUGACGUGGAUCGGCACAAUAACGAUCGACGAUGUGAAAGCAGGGCCUAACGAACCUACCAGCCUCAUUUGUGGGGGCGGUAGAUAACAGAAAAGUUACCUCGGGGAUAAUUGAGUUGUCACCAGCAAGAGCUCACAUCGACCUGGUGGCUUGCUACUUCGAUGUCGUCUCUUCCUAUCCUGGGUCUGCAGCAGGACCCAAGGGUGGGGUUGUUCGCCCAUUAAAAGGGAUCGUGAGAUGGGUUUAGACCGUCGUGAGACAGGUUUGUUGCUUGGUGGUAGAAUCGCAUAAGGUGUUUGAUGGAAGGGAUCCUUUAGUACGAGAGGAACGAGGGUUCGGGGCCACUAGUUUACCAGUUGUCUGACAAGGCAAUGCUGGGUAGCCACGCCCUGACGGAUAAGAGCUGAAAGCAUCUAAGCUCGAAGCCACCCCAUAAACGAGACACAUAUUCAUCACUCGUAGAAGACGAGUUGAUAGACUGCGGAUGUAA